ACUCCUCCAUGGCUCUGAAUCAACAGAGGGAAGGCACCAGCUAAGGAAGCUCUCUCUGCAGGAAGGCAUAGGAGAGACUCUACCCAAGAAGCAGUGCAGAGACUGACUGACUUUCAGGGAGUAAGGAGCUGUGCCCAGCUGAAACUGAGAUGAAGGCUUCAUGAGACUGUAUCAGUGGAAGCUGUAGUAUUGUGUAUUUCAUUAUAACCCUUCCAUCAGGACAUCCCAGCAAGGAAUCUGGAAUCUACAAAACUAACAAGCUUUUACUUUGUGUUCUUCAGCCGUGAGAAUUGUUCUAAUAUCAUGGAGCUGUGGCAGAGACUCCAUCGAACACUCAAUGGAAACCUAUCAAAGACAACUGCAAACAAUCAAAACCACAGGGAGGUAAAAAAGGGACAUUUUGACAGAUCGAGGAUCACCCUGUCUUUAAUAGAGAUGGGGAAAAUGUUUCAGUAUAACGGAGUGGGGAAAGGCACUGUGGAUCCAUUCAUUGAGGAGACAUCUUGUUGAGUGAAAGUUUUUCAUGAAGAAUUGAAUCCUGGUUCCUGUAAAGCCAGUCAGCUCUGCAAGGGUCUGAACUAUUUUUGUGUGGGGGAGCAUACUUUAUUAGUUAC